GACGAACGCUGGCGGCGUGCUUAACACAUGCCAGUCGAACGGAAAGGCCCUGCUUUUGUGGGGUGCUCGAGUGGCGAACGGGUGAGUAACACGUGAGUAACCUGCCCUUGACUUUGGGAUAACUUCAGGAAACUGGGGCUAAUACCGGAUAGGAGCUCCUGCUGCAUGGUGGGGGUUGGAAAGUUUCGGCGGUUGGGGAUGGACUCGCGGCUUAUCAGCUUGUUGGUGGGGUAGUGGCUUACCAAGGCUUUGACGGGUAGCCGGCCUGAGAGGGUGACCGGCGACAUUGGGACUGAGAUACGGACCAGACUGCUACGGGAGGCAGCAGUGGGGAAUAUUGCACAAUGGGCGGAAGCCUGAUGCAGCAACGCCGCGUGCGGGAUGACGGCCUUCGGGUUGUAAACCGCUUUCGCCUGUGACGAAGCGUGAGUGACGGUAAUGGGUAAAGAAGCACCGGCUAACUACGUG
rnacentral:rRNA from 1 species